UUUGCAUAUCAAUAAGCGGAGGAAAAGAAACCAACAGGGAUUGCCUUAGUAACGGCGAGUGAAGCGGCAAAAGCUCAAUUUGAAAUCGCUUCGGCGAGUUGUAAGUAAAGUGGUUAGACGCUUUUUAAUAAGUCCCUUGGAACAGGGCGCCAUAGAGGGUGAUAGCCCCGUAUUAAAUUGUCUAGUGUGCUACUUUAGAGCGAGUCGAGUUGUUUGGGAAUGCAGCUCAAAUAGGUGGUAAACUCCAUCUAAAGCUAAAUAUUGCUGGGAGACCGAUAGCGAACAAGUACAGUGAUGGAAAGAUGAAAAGCACUUUGAAAAGAGAGUGAAAUAGCGUGUGAAAUUGUUGGAGGGGAAGGCGAUGGUAGGAAUAAGAGGCUGCGGUUUGAAAUAAAUGUUUUUCGGGCCACGGUCUCCUGAGCCUGCUUUCGCACCCGUCUUGAAACACGGACCAA
rnacentral:rRNA from 1 species